rnacentral:rRNA from 1 species
UUCAUGGAGAGUUUGAUCCUGGCUCAGGACGAACGCUGGCGGCUUGCCUAAUACAUGCAAGUCGAGCGGACCGAC